AUUCCAUGAUGAGGGCACUUCUGUAAUAAUUCUUCGUACCUUUCCCAUGUCUUAUACAAGGACUCGUCAUCCAUUUUUGGAAAGUAGUGAUCUCGUUCCUCAACUU
rfam:Gossypium raimondii Chr12_contig_322, whole genome shotgun sequence.